UUGGCUCUGCAGUGAUAUUCCUGGAUAGGGGAAGGGUUUUUUUCUUUCAAAACCAGUGGGCCGAUGCUGCAGUUGGUGCCGUGGUAGAGGGAAAUAAUGUGCUCCACGUAUUUAUAUGGAGGGUUAGUGUGCGUAUACGAAGGCGGAUACUGUACGUUCAAGCGUGCUGCUGAAUGGUGAUUUUUCGACACACAUCCACAUAGACACACAUCUACAUAGACACACAUCCACAUAGACACACAUCCACAUAGACACACACAUCCACAUAGACACAUCCACAUAGACACACAUUCACAUAGACACACAUCCACAUAGACACACAUCCACACACACACACAUCCACACAGACACACAUCCACAUAGACACACAUCCACAUAGACACACAUCCACACACACACACAUCCACAUAGACACACAUCCACAUAGACACACAUCCACAUAGACACACACAUCCACAUAGACACACACAUCCACAUAGACACACAUUCACAUAGACACACAUCCACAUAGACACACAUCCACAUAGACACACAUCCACAUAGACACACAUCCACAUAGACACACACACUAUACAGACCCACAAAGACUCACCCACAGACUCACACACACAAAGACUCACACACACAAAGACUCUCACACACACACUCUCACAUACAAAGACACGCACACACGCACACAACCACAUAGACACACAUCCACAUAGACACAUCCACAUAGACACGCACACAUUCACACAGACCCACACACACCACACACAGACCCACACACACCACACACACCCACACACACCACACACAGACCCACACACACCCACACAGACUCUCACACCCACACAAUCACACACACACCGGCUCGCACACAGACUCGCUGCGCGGAGAAGGGAGGGAGGGAGCAUCGUGGACACGCGCAUGGAACAAGAGGAGGACAACACGCACGAUCGGCACUCGCCUCUCACGCGAUGAGCUCCUGACCGACUCUCCUGCCCCCCCCCCCCCCCGACCGGGAGACUCUCACGCACCUGACGGUGUGGGGGGGGGGCUGGGCGGCCCGGGAGGGGGAGGGAUGGUGAGCGGAACAACGGGAGGGAGGAGGAGGAGUUGAGUCGCGGCGGUGCCAAUAAGGGCGGCAGCGAUGGUCGUGGAGCGGUAGUGCCGUCACAGCCGCUGGACGACUUCGCCGUUGAGUGCGCACGCAGUGAGACCGGCACUGGGUCGGAACGGGUCCAGGCUCCAGGCCGCAAGGAAG